ensembl:lncRNA
GUGUCUUAUUGUUCGUAACAACUCAGUUUGCUGCUAUAGGCAGUUAGCUGCCUACUGUGACAGCUAGGUACUGGUUGCAACCUUUCUGAUGGGAAUAGAUGAAGACCAUGUUUAGUUUCCAAGUGCUACUGAAUAAGCUCAAGUUCUACUCAAAUGCUCCAACAUGAUACAUGUCAUUAUUGUAGUCUAUCAAUCCAUUCGAAAUCUUUAUCUGCAGCGCAGGUUGCUCUCUGCCAUACUUUACAUAACACAAGGGCAGCAUAUAUAGCCUAGUGCAUCAGAACUGCUAGGAUACUGUCUGUUCUCUGAGCUCUUUAUGUUUCUGGAGGCUGAUGUCCCUUUAUACAACAGGCUGGACAGUCCAUGUCCUUACAACAGGCUGGACCAUCCAUGUCCUUACAACAGGCUGGACAGUCCAUGUCCUUACAACAGGCUGGACCAUCCAUGUCCUUACAACAGCAUGUAGAAGUCUGAUGUCCCUUUAUACCACAGGCUGGACAGUCCAUGUCCUUACAACAGCCUGGACAGUCCAUGUCCUUACAACAGGCUGGACAGUCCAUGUCCUUACAACAGCAUGUAGAAGUCUGAUGUCCCUUUAUACCACAGGCUGGACAGUCCAUGUCCUUACAACAGGCUGGACAGUAAAUGUCCUUACAACAGGCUGGACAGUCCAUGUCCUUACAACAGCAGGUAGAAGUCUGAUGUCCCUUUAUACCACAGGCUGGACAGUCCAUGUCCUUACAACAGGCUGGACAGUCCAUGUCCUUACAACAGCAGGUAGAAGUCUGAUGUCCCUUUAUACCACAGGCUGGACAGUCCAUGUCCUUACAACAGGCUGGACAGUCCAUGUCCUUACAACAGGCUGGACAGUCCAUGUCCUUACAACAGGCUGGACAGUCCAUGUCCUUACAACAGGCUGGACAGUCCAUGUCCUUACAACAGGAUGGACAGUCCAUGUCCUUACAACAGGCUGGACAGUCCAUGUCCUUACAACAGGCUGGACAGUCCAUGUCCUUACAACAGGCUGGACAGUCCAUGUCCUUA